GAUGAACGCUGGCGGCGUGCCUAAUACAUGCAAGUCGAGCGAACAGACGAGGAGCUUGCUCCUCUGACGUUAGCGGCGGACGGGUGAGUAACACGUGGAUAACCUACCUAUAAGACUGGGAUAACUUCGGGAAACCGGAGCUAAUACCGGAUAAUAUAUUGAACCGCAUGGUUCAAUAGUGAAAGACGGUUUUGCUGUCACUUAUAGAUGGAUCCGCGCCGCAUUAGCUAGUUGGUAAGGUAACGGCUUACCAAGGCGACGAUGCGUAGCCGACCUGAGAGGGUGAUCGGCCACACUGGAACUGAGACACGGUCCAGACUCCUACGGGGGGCAGCAGUAGGGAAUCUUCCGCAAUGGGCGAAAGCCUGACGGAGCAACGCCGCGUGAGUGAUGAAGGUCUUCGGAUCGUAAAACUCUGUUAUUAGGAAAGAACAAAUGUGUAAGUAACUAUGCACGUCUUGACGGUACCUAAUCAGAAAGCCACGGCUAACUACGUG
rnacentral:rRNA from 1 species